AGAGUUUGAUCAUGGCUCAGGAUGAACGCUAGCGGCAGGCUUAAUACAUGCAAGUCGAGGGGCAGCGGGGGUAGCAAUACCCGCCGGCGACCGGCAAACGGGUGCGGAACACGUACGCAACCUUCCCAAGAUUGGUGAAUAGCCCUCCGAAAGGAGGAUUAAUACACCGUAACAUAAUUUGAUGGCAUCAUUAGAUUAUUAUAGCUCCGGCGAUUUUGGAUGGGCGUGCGCCUGAUUAGGUAGUUGGUAGGGUAACGGCCUACCAAGCCAACGAUCAGUAACUGGUGUGAGAGCACGACCAGUCACACGGGCACUGAGACACGGGCCCGACUCCUACGGGAGGCAGCAGUAAGGAAUAUUGGUCAAUGGACGCAAGUCUGAACCAGCCAUGCCGCGUGAAGGAUGAAGGCCCUCUGGGUUGUAAACUUCUUUUAUGGGGGACGAAAAAAGGGGAUUCUUCCUCACUUGACGGUACCCUAGGAAUAAGCACCGGCUAACUCCGUGCCAGCAGCCGCGGUAAUACGGAGGGUGCAAGCGUUAUCCGGAUUUACUGGGUUUAAAGGGUGCGUAGGUGGGUAGGUAAGUCAGUGGUGAAAUCUUCGAGCUUAACUCGGAAACUGCCAUUGAUACUAUUUAUCUUGAAUACUCUGGAGGUAAGCGGAAUAUGUCAUGUAGCGGUGAAAUGCUUAGAUAUGACAUAGAACACCAAUUGCGAAGGCAGCUUACUACAUAGUUAUUGACACUGAGGCACGAAAGCGUGGGGAUCAAACAGGAUUAGAUACCCUAGUAGUCC
rnacentral:rRNA from 1 species